AAUGUCGUAACAAGGUUUCCGUAGGUGAACCUGCGGAAGGAUCAUUAGUGAAUUAACAGGACGUUCAAUUUUGAAUCUUGAAGGUCCGAACUCUCACAUCUAACCCUGUGCAUUUCGUUUUAGGUUAGUAGAGGCGCUUGCGUUCCGAAUCACCUCUUCAUUUUGACAAAGCACUAAGUCAAAGGUAUGUUAAACUUUAUAACAAAAGCGAAA
rnacentral:misc_RNA from 1 species